GACGAACGCUGGCGGCGUGCUUAACACAUGCAAGUCGAACGGAAAGGCCCUGCUUGCAGGGUGCUCGAGUGGCGAACGGGUGAGUAACACGUGGGUGAUCUGCCCCUUACUUUGGGAUAAGCCUGGGAAACUGGGUCUAAUACUGGAUAGGACCAUGCUGUAGGUGGUGUGGUGGAAAGAUUUUUUCGGUAAGGGAUGAGCUCGCGGCCUAUCAGCUUGUUGGUGGGGUAAUGGCCUACCAAGGCGUCGACGGGUAGCCGGCCUGAGAGGGUGGACGGCCACAUUGGGACUGAGAUACGGCCCAGACUCCUACGGGAGGCAGCAGUGGGGAAUAUUGCACAAUGGGCGCAAGCCGGAUGCAGCGACGCCGCGUGGGGGAUGACGGCCUUCGGGUUGUAAACUCCUUUCAGCCAUGACGAAGCCUCUUUUGGGGUGACGGUAGUGGUAGAAGAAGCACCGGCUAACUACGUG
rnacentral:rRNA from 1 species